rnacentral:tRNA from 1 species
GGGGCCGUGGGCUAACCUGGUAUGCUACCAGGUUCGGGACCUGGUGAUCUGAGUUCAAAUCUCAGCGGCCCCA